UACAGAGGGUGCGAGCGUUAAUCGGAAUUAUUGGGCGUAAAGAGCUCGUAGGCGGCUUGUCACGUCGGGUGUGAAAGCCCGGGGCUUAACCCCGGGUCUGCAUUCGAUACGGGCUAGCUAGAGUGUGGUAGGGGAGGAUCGGAAUUCCUGGUGUAGCGGUGAAAUGCGCAGAUAUCAGGAAGAACACCCGUGGCGAAAGCGGCUCUCUGGAACGGUACUGACGCUGAGACGCGAAAGCGUGGGGAGCGAACAGG
rnacentral:rRNA from 1 species